CCAGCAGUGCCGUCUGUUGCCCUCACCGAGACAUGCAAGCAGGGUAACCAACUUGUGUGAAGCUCUCGGAUAAACGUACCCGCAGAAAAACUGUAGGCCGACCCGUGAGGGAACGCUGAAUCUGCCAGUAGCAGGCGGAGAGGGGC
rfam:Chlorobium luteolum DSM 273, complete genome.